GUAGGCUGAAACUCGCCUACAUGAAGCUGGAGUUACUAGUAAUCGCAGAUCAGAAUGCUGCGGUGAAUGCGUUCCCGGGUCUUGUACACACCGCCCGUCACACCACGGAAGUUGGGGGCGCCCGAAGCCACUUAGCUAACCCUUUUGGGAAGCGAGUGUCGAAGGUGAAAUCAAUAACUGGGGUGAAGUCGUAACAAGGUAGC
rnacentral:rRNA from 1 species